rnacentral:rRNA from 1 species
AGUGAACGCUGGCGGUAGGCCUAACACAUGCAAGUCGAACGGCAGCACAGUAAGAGCUUGCUCUUACGGGUGGCGAGUGGCGGACGGGUGAGGAAUACAUCGGAAUCUACUUUUUCGUGGGGGAUAACGUAGGGAAACUUACGCUAAUACCGCAUACGACCUACGGGUGAAAGCAGGGGAUCUUCGGACCUUGCGCGAUUGAAUGAGCCGAUGUCGGAUUAGCUAGUUGGCGGGGUAAAGGCCCACCAAGGCGACGAUCCGUAGCUGGUCUGAGAGGAUGAGACGCCCACAUGGAAAUGAGAAACCGGCCCGACUCCCAAGGGGGGGCGCAGGGGGGAAAAUUGGAAAAUGGGGGGAAACCCUAUCCCACCAUACCGGGGGGGGGAAAAAGGCCCUUGGGUUGUAAAACCCUUUUUUUUGGAAAAAAAAGAAGGCGGUUUAAACCCCCCGGUUUUUACGGGACCCAAAAAAAAAACCACGGGUAACUUUGUG